AGUGAACGCUGGCGGUAGGCCUAACACAUGCAAGUCGAACGGCAGCACAGUAAGAGCUUGCUCUUACGGGUGGCGAGUGGCGGACGGGUGAGGCAUACAUCGGAAUCUACUUUUUCGUGGGGGAUAACGUAGGGAAACUUACGCUAAUACCGCAUACGACCUACGGGUGAAAGCAUGGGAUCUUCGGACCUUGCGCGAUUGAAUGAGCCGAUGUCGGAUUAGCUAGUUGGCGGGGUAAAGGCCCACCAAGGCGACGAUCCGUAGCUGGUCUGAGAGGAUGAUCGGCCACACUGGAACUGAGACACGGUCCAGACUCCUACGGGAGGCAGCAGUGGGGAAUAUUGGACAAUGGGCGCAAGCCUGAUCCAGCCAUACCGCGUGGGUGAAGAAGGCCUUCGGGUUGUAAAGCCCUUUUGUUGGGAAAGAAAAGCAGCAGGUUAAUACCUCGCUGUUCUGACGGUACCCAAAGAAUAAGCACCGGCUAACUUCGUG
rnacentral:rRNA from 1 species